rnacentral:pre_miRNA from 1 species
GAAGGCAAACUGUCCUCAGUGUGUUUCAUAAGCUGAUGUGGGACAGGAUUUCUUUUUGCUCCUAUGUCAGUAUAUCAAAAUCAUACCUGGACAUC